UACGUAGGGUGCGAGCGUUAAUCGGAAUUACUGGGCGUAAAGCGUGCGCAGGCGGUUGUGCAAGACAGAUGUUAAAUCCCCGGGCUCAACCUGGGAACUGCAUUUGUGACUGCACGGCUAGAGUGUGUCAGAGGGGGGUAGAAUUCCACGUGUAGCAGUGAAAUGCGUAGAUAUGUGGAGGAAUACCGAUGGCGAAGGCAGCCCCCUGGGAUAACACUGACGCUCAUGCACGAAAGCGUGGGGAGCAAACAGG
rnacentral:rRNA from 1 species